rnacentral:rRNA from 1 species
GACGAACGCUGGCGGCGUGCUUAACACAUGCAAGUCGAACGGUAAGGCCCUUUCGGGGGUACACGAGUGGUGGCCGGGUGCGUAACACGAGGGUGAUCUGCCCCGCCCUUUGGGAUUAGGAUGGGUAACUGGGUCUAAUACCGGAUAGGACUACGCGAUGCAUGCGGUGUGGUGGAAAGUGAGUGCGGUGUGUGAUGGGCCCGCUGGCUAUCAGCUUGUUGGUGGGGUGAUGGGGUACCAAGGCGACGUCGGAUAGCCGGCCUGAGAGGGUGUCCGGCCACACUGGGACUGAGAUACGGCCCAGACUCCUACGGGAGGCAGCAGUGGGGAAUAUUGCACAAUGGGCGCAAGCCUGAUGCAGCGACGCCGCGUGGGGGAUGACGGCCUUCGGGUUGUAAACCCCUUUCAGCACAGACGAAGCGUAAGUGACGGUAUGUGCAGAAGAAGCACCGGCCAACUACGUG